GACGUAGGAUGCAAGCGUUGUCCGGAUUUAUUGGGCGUAAAGAGUUCGUAGGUGGUUCGUUAAGCCUGAUGUUAAAGACUGGGGCUCAACCCUGGAAGUGCAUUGGAUACUGGCGGACUUGAGUGUGGUAGAGGCAAUCGGAAUUCCAGGUGUAGCGGUGAAAUGCGUAGAUAUCAGGAGGAACACCGGUGGCGAAGGCGGAUCUCUGGGCCAUUACUGACGCUGAGGAGCGAAAGCGUGGGGAGCGAACAGG
rnacentral:rRNA from 1 species